AUGCUAAUUAAAGGAGGAUGCAUCAUUGGCCUUUCAACAUUUCAGGAACCGUUACCCUCUCCCUCGUCAGCAUUAAAGCCGUAUCGGGAACUGUCCUGGUUUACUAGUAGCUGCCAAAUCGAAUAG
rnacentral:rRNA from 1 species